rnacentral:rRNA from 1 species
GAUGAACGCUAGCGGCAGGCUUAACACAUGCAAGUCGAGGGGCAGCAUGACACGGAGAUUCGUCGAAGUGUUGAUGGCGACCGGCGCAAGGGUGCGUAACGCGUGAGCAACUUGCCCGUUUCUGGGGGAAUAACCGGUGGAAACGCCGACUAAUACCCCAUGGUGUUGUCUGGAGGCAUCUCCAUACAACUAAAGAACUUCGGAAACGGAUAGGCUCGCGUGACAUUAGCUAGAUGGCGGGGUAACGGCCCACCAUGGCGACGAUGUCUAGGGGUUCUGAGAGGAAGGUCCCCCACACUGGAACUGAGACACGGUCCAGACUCCUACGGGAGGCAGCAGUGAGGAAUAUUGGUCAAUGGUCGGAAGACUGAACCAGCCAAGUAGCGUGAAGGAUGAAGGUUCUAUGGAUUGUAAACUUCUUUAUACGGGAAUAAAACCUCCCACGUGUGGAGCUUGUAUGUACCGUAUGAAUAAGCAUCGGCUAACUCCGUG